GGAAACUCUUUUCUGGGAGGCAAACAGAGGUCCACGAGAGGAAGACCUGUCACUAAUUAAUUAUUUUUUUGAGACAGGGUCUGGCUUUGCUGCCCAGGCUGGAGCACAGUGGUAUGAUCAAGGUCAAGCCUUGAUCUCCCAGGCUCAAGUGAUCCUCCACCUCAGCCUCCCAAGUAGAUGGGACUACAGGCAUGCGCCAUGAUGCCUAGUUAAUUUUUUUUUUUUUUUUUUUUGAGACAAGGUCUUCCUUUUUUGCUCAGGUUAAUCUUGAACUCCUGAGCUCAAGCAAUCCUCUCACCUCAGACUCCCAAAGUACUAAGAUUACUGGCAUGAGCCAUCGUGCCUGGCUAUCCACAGAGGUUUUAAGCCCUGUGUGUGCUAAGUCUGUCUUUCUAUCCAACAGUUCAUUUGCUCAUCCCUCCCUUGCCUUGUUCUAGAAAGACCAGGCAGUACAACGUCUCCCUUGGCUCUGUUUGACACAGGAACUUCCAUGUCUGGAAUGAGUGCUGGAUGGCCCGGAAGGAUCUGCCCCCUGGAUAUGGAGGCUGGCAGGUGCUGGACGCCACACCUCAGGAGAUGAGCAACGGCGUCUACUGCUGUGGCCCUGCCUCUGUCAGAGCCGUCAAAGAAGGAGAGGUGGACCUGAACUAUGACACGCCCUUUGUGUUUUCAAUGGUGAAUGCUGACUGCAUGUCCUGGCUCGUCCAGGGAGGGAAGGAGCAGAAACUUCACCAGGACACAAGUUCUGUUGGCAAUUUUAUCAGCACAAAGAGCAUCCAGAGUGACGAGCGGGAUGACAUCACAGAGAACUACAAGUAUGAAGAAGGAUCCCUCCAGGAGAGGCAGGUGUUUCUGAAGGCUCUGCAGAAGCUGAAGGCUAGAAGAUUCCAUGGCUCCCAAAGAGGAGCAGAGUUGCAACCUUCCAGACCCACACCACUGAGCCAGGACAGCCCUCGGAGCCUGCAUACACCUUCCCUUCGACCCAGUGAUGUGGUGCAAGUCUCCCUGAAAUUCAAGCUGCUCGACCCGCCCAACAUGGGCCAGGAUAUAUGCUUUGUCCUGCUGGCCCUCAACAUGUCCUCCCAGUUCAAGGACCUCAAAGUGAACCUAAGUGCCCAGUCUCUGCUACACGAUGGCAGCCCCCUGUCCCCAUUCUGGCAGGACAUAGCGUUCAUCACACUCUCUCCUAAAGAAGCAAAGACCUACCCCUGCAAAAUCUCCUAUUCCCAGUACAGCCAGUACCUGUCAACAGACAAGCUGAUCCGCAUCAGUGCCUUGGGUGAAGAGAAAAGCAGUCCCGAGAAAAUCCUGGUGAACAAGAUCAUCACCUUAUCUUAUCCGAGCAUCACGAUUAAUGUUCUAGGAGCAGCCGUUGUGAACCAGCCACUCUCCAUACAGGUGAUAUUUUCAAACCCCCUCUCAGAGCAGGUUGAGGACUGUGUGCUGACUGUGGAAGGAAGUGGCCUCUUCAAGAAACAGCAAAAAGUCUUCCUUGGAGUCCUCAAACCCCAACACCGAGCGAGCAUCAUUCUGGAGACCGUCCCCUUCAAGAGUGGACAAAGGCAGAUCCAAGCUAAUAUGAGAAGCAACAAGUUUAAGGACAUCAAGGGUUACAGGAAUGUUUAUGUAGACUUUGCAUUAUAAAUUCUGGAACAACG
rnacentral:sRNA from 1 species